rnacentral:rRNA from 1 species
CGUGUAGGCGGCCCGAUAAGUCGGUUGUGAAAGUCAAGGGCUCAACCCUUGAAAGCCGGCCGAUACUGUCGGGCUAGAAUCCGGAAGAGGCGAGUGGAAUUCCUGGUGUAGCGGUGAAAUGCGCAGAUAUCAGGAGGAACACCAAUGGCGAAGGCAGCUCGCUGGGACGGUAUUGACGCUGAGACGCGAAAGCGUGGGGAGCAAACA